rnacentral:tRNA from 1 species
UGGCUCAGUUGGUAGAGCAUGGCGCUUGUACCGCCAGGGUUGUGUGUUCGAUUCUCAC